rnacentral:rRNA from 1 species
UUGGAGGGCAAGUCUGGUGCCAGCAGCCGCGGUAAUUCCAGCUCCAAUAGCGUAUAUUAAAGUUGUUGCAGUUAAAAAGCUCGUAGUUGAAUUUCGAGAUCAAUUUGUCGGUCGUGCCUCGGUACGUACUGGCAUUAUUGAUUUCUCCCUUCUGAAGAACCGCGAUGUCAUUAAUUUGGUGUCGUGGGGAAUCAGGACUGUUACUUUGAAAAAAUUAGAGUGUUUGAAGCAGGCGCACGCUUGAAUACAUUAGCAUGGAAUAAUGAAAUAGGACGUUUGAUUCUAUUUUGUUGGUUUCUAGGAUCGACGUAAUGAUUAAUAGGGAUAGUUGGGGGCAUUAGUAUUCAAUUGUCAGAGGUGAAAUUCUUGGAUUUAUUGAAGACUAACUACUGCGAAAGCAUUUGCCAAGGAUGUUUUCAUUAAUCAAGAACGAAAGUUAGGGGAUCGAAGACGAUCAGAUACCGUCGUAGUCUUAACCAUAAACUAUGCCGACUAGGGAUCGGAUGAUGUUAAUCUUUUAAUGACUCAUUCGGCGCCUUACGGGAAACCAAAGUGUUUGGGUUC